UACGUAGGCAGCGAGCGUUGUUCGGAAUUACUGGGCGUAAAAGAGUGUGUAGGCGGUGUUCCAAGUCUGGUGUGAAAUCUCCCGGCUCAACUGGGAGGGUGCGCCGGAAACUGGAAUGCUAGAGGGUGGGAGAGGUAAGCGGAAUUCCUGGUGUAGCGGUGAAAUGCGUAGAUAUCAGGAGGAACACCUGUGGUGUAGACGCU
rnacentral:rRNA from 1 species